CGGUUUCCUUAAGCAACAACUUUUUCUUCACUCGAUGUUUGCAUCUCACGUACAAGUUUCCUCGAGAAUAGUUCAUCAACAACUGGAAGGGCUUCGACAAUAGAUAGCAUCACUUGAGGCUACCUUGGGACGACAUCCAAUAUUUCUCUACCGAUGUAUUCUGAGUAUCUGGACUUGAGCUUGGGGGAGGAUGAUUGACACUGCCAGACAUAGUAAGGGACUCUACCUCCUUGAUGACGAUACCUCUUCUAAUAGCAUUUCUAUAACUAGUCUCUUAUCUUUCUAUUUCACUACUUCUGAACAAGAUUGUAUGUUGUGACAUUUUCGUUUAGGCCACCCUAAUUUUCAAUAUAUGAAACAUUUAUUUCCACAUCUCUUCUUCUAAAAUUGAGGUGUCUGCCUUAUCUUGUGAUUUGUGUAUUCAGGUCAAAGAACAUCGAGUCUCCUUUCCUUCACAACCAUACAAACCAACCGAACCCUUCACUCUUGUACAUAAUGAUGUCAGGGGACCAUCCAAGAUAACAACCUCAUCUGGAAAACGGUGGUUCGUAACCUUCAUUGAUGAUCACCCGUCUUACCUGGGUCUACCUUAUCACUGAUAAAUCUGAGGUAUCUAUCAGCUGCAUUCUCGAAAGUAUUCAACGACAUACAGAUUUAUUGGAAAAUUUCAUAACAUUUCUUUGAGAUCUACUUCAGGUUUUGGGAAGUAAGGAAUGUGUGGUGCAACAUCUUUUGCAAUCUGCUUCCUCCAUCCUUUGCAAGAAAUUGGAUUUGUUGGCCUUAUAAAUAGACCACUUCUUAAUUAUUUAUUCCUCAUCCGGCAAGAAGUUAUCUUUAGGUGACCAUGACCUACACAUCGAAGGAACCUUAAAGCCGAUGACAAAUCUAGAAGGUUAUAACGUUAUACUUACUUAUGGUGAGAACUCUAAGACACCUAUAGGUGCAACAAUUGGGUCAGCUUGUCCUCUUGUGAU